rnacentral:rRNA from 1 species
UACGUAGGGUGCAAGCGUUGUCCGGAAUUAUUGGGCGUAAAGAGCUCGUAGGCGGUUUGUCGCAUCUGCUGUGAAAUCCCAGGGCUUAACCCUGGGCCUGCAGUGGGUACGGGCAAACUAGAGUGCGGUAGGGGAGAUCGGAAUUCCUGGUGUAGCGGUGAAAUGCGCAGAUAUCAGGAGGAACACCGGUGGCGAAGGCGGGUCUCUGGGCCGAUACUGACGCUGAGGAGCGAAAGCGUGGGGAGCGAACAGG